ensembl:lncRNA
CGAUGUUCAAAUAACAUCGUUAUGUGUAGGCUUACCCGUUAAAGAAGUUAAUCACCUAUAGACACGGCGACACAGUGCCAUACAGAAAGGUUCUCUAAUGUAUGUAAUCUAACGUUCACCAGCGUGAUCAUUCUGAAUCCACGGGAAUACUGAGUAUUAAUCGUGAUUUUUCAUAAAGCCAGGCCUGCAUACAUUCUGGAUUCAUACAGUACUUAUUUCAUGUUUGCUUAUUGUUACUGGUGAAAAGGAGACAGUUGAGACUAUCCAUCACCAUGGGAAUGCCCCGGUGACCUCUAAGGAAGUGAGUGGCAGAGCACCAACAUGGAAAGGAAUGGAGUAGCCUGGAAAAAGUUCCAGGAAGACUCAUUUGAUCUAAAGCAACUAAAAGAAACCACAGAUGCAUCAGAGAGCCCAAUCAGGAUGCAGUAGAUUAAACCCUCUCCCAUGUGCUGCCCUCCCCCUGCUCUUUCAGUAGCUGCCCACUACAAUCGUGUGUUGCACCAGACCUCUCAGAAUAUGUGUUCAUUAGCUGUUUAGCCUCCAGUCAUUUUCCACUUGUUUCCCAAAGCUGGAUCGCAUUAUGCCA